GUCAGGCUCGUGUCGUGAGAUGUUGGGUUAAGUCCCGCAACGAGCGCAACCCUUGUCAUCAGUUGCUACGAAAGGGCACUCUGAUGAGACUGCGGUGACAAACCGGAGGAAGGUGGGGAUGACGUCAAGUCCUCAUGGCCCUUAUGGCUGGGGCCUCACACGUCAUACAAUGGUCGGAACAGAGGGCAGCGAAGCCGCGAGGUGAAGCCAAUCCCAGAAAACCGAUCGUAGUCCGGAUUGCAGUCUGCAACUCGACUGCA
rnacentral:rRNA from 1 species